GAUGAACGCUGGCGGCGUGCCUAAUACAUGCAAGUCGAGCGAACAGACGAGGAGCUUGCUCCUCUGACGUUAGCGGCGGACGGGUGAGUAACACGUGGAUAACCUACCUAUAAGACUGGGAUAACUUCGUGAAACCGGAUCUAAUACCGGAUAAUAUAUUGAACCGCAUGGUUCAAUAGUGAAAGACGGUUUUGCUGUCACUUAUAGAUGGAUCCGCGCCGCAUUAGCUAGUUGGUAAGGUAACGGCUUACCAAGGCGACGAUGCGUAGCCGACCUGAGAGGGUGAUCGGCCACACUGGAACUGAGACACGGUCCAGACUCCUACGGGAGGCAGCAGUAGGGAAUCUUCCGCAAUGGGCGAAAGCCUGACGGAGCAACGCCGCGUGAGUGAUGAAGGUCUUCGGAUCGUAAAACUCUGUUAUUAGGGAAGAAAAAAUGUGUAAGUAACUAUGCACGUCUUGACGGUACCUAAUCAGAAAGCCACGGCUAACUACGUG
rnacentral:rRNA from 1 species